rnacentral:rRNA from 1 species
AACGAACGCUGGCGGCAUGCCUAACACAUGCAAGUCGAACGAGACCUUCGGGUCUAGUGGCGCACGGGUGUGUAACGCGUGGGAACCUGCCCUUAGGUUCGGCAUAACUCUCCGAAAGGGGUGCUAUACCGGAUAAUGUCUUCGGACCAAAGAUUUAUCUCCUCUGGAUGGGCCCGAGUUGGAUUAGCUAGUUGGUAGGGUAAAAACCUACAAACGCGACGCUUCAUAGAUUGUAUGAGAGGAAGAUCAGCCACACUGAGGCGGCGUAACGGCCCGGAAUCUUACGCGAGGGGCCAGUGGGGAACAUAGGAAAGUGGCGUAAGUCCUGAUGCAGCAAUGCCGGGUGAGUGCUGAAGGCCUGAGGGUUGUAAAGCUCUAUUAACCGGGAUGAUAAUGACGGUACCGGGAGAGUAAGCCCCGGCUAACUCCGUG